CCUACGGGAGGCAGCAGUGAGGAAUAUUGGUCAAUGGGCGGAAGCCUGAACCAGCCAAGUAGCGUGCGGGAUGAAGGCCCUACGGGUCGUAAACCGCUUUUGCACGGGGAUAACACCCUCCACUUGUGGAGGUCUGCAGGUACCGUGCGAAUAAGGGCCGGCUAAUUCCGUGCCAGCAGCCGCGGUAAUACGGAAGGCCCGAGCGUUAUCCGGAUUCAUUGGGCUUAAAGGGAGCGUAGGCGGGCGUUCAAGUCAGCUGUAAAAGCGCGCGGCUCAACCGCGCCCCGCAGUUGAAACUGGACGCCUUGAGUGCACAACAGGCAGGCGGAAUUCGUGGUGUAGCGGUGAAAUGCAUAGAUAUCACGAGGAACCCCGAUUGCGAAGGCAGCCUGCCGGGGUGCGACUGACGCUGAGGCUCGAAGGUGCGGGUAUCAAACAGUAUUAGAUACCCCAGUAGUC
rnacentral:rRNA from 1 species